AACGAACGCUGGCGGCAGGCCUAACACAUGCAAGUCGAACGCCCUAGCAAUAGGGAGUGGCAGACGGGUGAGUAACGCGUGGGAACCUUCCCAGUGGUACGGAAUAACUCAGGGAAACUUGAGCUAAUACCGUAUACGCCCGAAAGGGGAAAGAUUUAUCGCCAUUGGAUGGGCCCGCGUCGGAUUAGCUAGUUGGUGGGGUAACGGCCCACCAAGGCUACGAUCCGUAGCUGGUCUGAGAGGAUGAUCAGCCACACUGGGACUGAGACACGGCCCAGACUCCUACGGGAGGCAGCAGUGGGGAAUAUUGGACAAUGGGCGCAAGCCUGAUCCAGCCAUGCCGCGUGAGUGACGAAGGCCUUAGGGUUGUAAAGCUCUUUCGGCGGGGAAGAUAAUGACGGUACCCGCAGAAGAAGCCCCGGCUAACUCUGUGCCAGCCGCCGCUGUAAUAC
rnacentral:rRNA from 1 species